GAUGGAAACGCAGUUCCGGUUAGGAGGCUGAGUUUGUUUACGUUGCUUACAGAUCUAGCUCCUGCUUUCCCUAGUUCCAGUUCCAAGAUGGGGAAAUCCUUCGCCAACUUCAUGUGCAAGAAAGACUUUCAUCCUGCCUCCAAAUCCAAUAUUAAAAAAGUAUGGAUGGCAGAACAGAAAAUAUCAUAUGAUAAGAAGAAACAAGAAGAAUUGAUGCAGCAAUAUCUUAAAGAACAAGAAUCAUAUGAUAAUAGGUAAGAAAUUCUGUUAUGCCAGUAUAUCUAGAAUUAUCAAUUUCAUGGGAAUAUUUUCCUACUGAAUGAUAUAUUAAGUCAGUUUUUUGGAAUCAAAUACCCAAUUAUAGGAUUCGUUUCUUUCCAUGAGGGCUAUCUCUUUUACUCUCAUACCUGUAGAUGGCCACUUUUUCCAGCUUUACCCAUAAUUCACGUAAAAUAUAGAUUCAUGUGACUCAUAUACAGUCUUUGAGCAAGUCUCAAAUUAGGCAAAGCUUAGAAGAACAAUCAUGUCUAUACUUGAACUGCUGAGACCUCUUACAAACUUAUUUCUUUAACAUACUCAAAUGAAAAGAUACCCAGGAUACUUUCAAGAGGAAAAGUAAAGUGACUUUAUUUGACAUGCAUGUCAUUGUUCUGUUAAAAGCUGUAUCGUGACUAGAGUUCUUCAU
rnacentral:sRNA from 1 species